AAGAAGAUGACACAGCUCAAAAUAAAAAAUUAGGUAUAUUCUCGUAAAGUCAAGUGAGCCAUGACAUAUGAGCUCUUAUUGUGAGCACACAGGACGGUGGCAUCUUUCUAAGGUUUUUUAUUUUCCCAGCAAUCAGUACAACCAAGUCAUCGUUAUAAGGCAUCGCCCUCUUUUGCCCACCCCCAGCACCAGGUGUGGCCACUAGCCUAUAUGAAGGCCCAAAAUUGUGUGUUCCUUUCUGCUCUGACAAUGGCAUGCCCAUUCGUGCGAGAUGUGGUGGAUGAAGAAGCACUUGUGCUGAGGAGAGCCUUCAGGCGAGAAAGGGUCUUCAGGGACCGGUUGGACCCACUGGCCUUCCCUGAUGACCAUCUAUAUGAAAGAUACAGGUUUUCUGCAGAUGGCAUCAGGUAUCUAUGCAGACUACUGGGUCCCAGGAUUAAGCACCGCACUGCACGGAGCCAUGCACUGAGUGUGGAGCAAAUGGUUUGUGUGGCCUUGCGCUUUUUGCUUGUGGAGCCUUCCUGUACUCAGUGGGGGAUGCAGAACAGCUGAACAAGGCCACAAUUUGCCGCACAAUAAGGAGUGUGUGUCUGGCUAUCAAAGCAUUAGCAGAUGUCUUCAUCUCCUUCCCUGGCCACAGAAGACUCUGUGACAUCAAAGAGGAGUUCUAUAGGAUUGCAGUGGACUGCACACACAUAAGGAUAAAAGCCCCUCAGGUGCCCAUGAGGCCGAUUUUGUGAAUAGGAAAUCCUUUCACAGCAUUAAUGUUCAGAUGGUCUGCAAUGCUGACUGUGUGAUCAGCAAUGUUGUGGCAAAAUGGCCUGGCUCAGUCCAUGACUCCAGAAUCUUUCGGGCCUCUGAAAUCUAUCAGUGCCUAUCACAAGGUGAAUUCUCUGGUGUGUUGCUGGGAGACAGGGGGUAUGGCUGCCAGCCUUUUCUCCUGACACCUUUCACAGACUCCCAGGAAGCACAGCAGGCCUACAACCAUGCCCAUGCCAGGACCAGGGCCAGAGUUGAAAUGACCUUUGGCCUCCUGAAGGCACGCUUUCACUGCCUUCACAAAUUAAGGGUCAGCCCUGUUAGGGCAUGUGAUAUUACUGUGGCUUGUGCUGUCCUCCACAAUGUGGCCUGCCUGAGGAAGGAGAGGCCCCCAGAGUGCCACCAGCCAUGGACUGGGACAAUCCGGCAAUCUUCCUGAUGACGACAGUGGUCGGCUGCUGAGGGACCAAUAUGUGUUGAAUUAUUUUAGUUAGUAUGUGUGCUUUCAAUUUUGGUUAAAUAUGUCCUGCGGUGGCAGAGGAAUUUGGUUUUUUUUUUGGGU